AGGACGAACGCUGGCGGCGUGCCUAACACAUGCAAGUCGAGCGAGGAGAUUCCUCGGGAUGAUCCUAGCGGCGGACGGGUGAGUAACACGUGGGCAACCUGCCUCAUAGAGAGGAAUAGCCUUCCGAAAGGGAGAUUAAUACCUCAUAACAUUGCAGUUUCGCAUGGAACAGCAAUUAAAGGAGCAAUCCGCUAUGAGAUGGGCCCGCGGCGCAUUAGCUAGUUGGUGAGGUAACGGCUCACCAAGGCGACGAUGCGUAGCCGACCUGAGAGGGUGAUCGGCCACAUUGGGACUGAGACACGGCCCAGACUCCUACGGGAGGCAGCAGUGGGGAAUAUUGCACAAUGGGGGAAACCCUGAUGCAAGCAACGCCGCGUGAGUGAUGACGGCCUUCGGGUUGUAAAGCUCUGUCUUCAGGGACGAUAAUGACGGUACCUGAGGAGGAAGCCACGGCUAACUACGUGCCAGCAGCCGC
rnacentral:rRNA from 1 species